CGCGUGGGUGGGCAGUGGGGUCUCAAUUUACAGGAAAUACCAUCUUCCCAGGAGAGCUUUCCCACCUCUUGUUCCUCCCAUCCCUUAGGCCGUCCCCCCAACCCCCAGCCUCUCUUACAGACAGGCAGGAAAUUGGAAACAGCUCUUCCGGAGGACCAGAGUCCUCUAGGUGACCCAAAGAGAAUGCCUUCCUUCUUCUGGGGCCUCAGUUUCCUCAUCUGUACGAUGGGAGUAUACCACUCACAGUUAUGCUUCAGCUUACCAAUAAGUCUCCAGCAAGUCAAGGAUCCUCUGUCCAUGGGAUUUUUCAGGCAAGAAUACUGGAGUGCGUUGCCAUUUUCCUCCUCCAGGGGGUCUUCCCCACCCUGGGAUGGAACCCGGGUCUCCCUCCUUGCAGGCGGAUUCUUUGCUCACUGAGCCAUUGGGGAAGCCCAGGCUGAUGGCCCUCGGGGCAAAGUGAAAGGGGGCAUCUUAUGCCGAUCUGGACACCUGGCAGGGUUCUGCGGGGUGCUGUGUCCCCGGGACUUGGCACAGAGCUGGCCCGCCCUCUGGUGGCCUUAGGUGGAUCUGCAGCCCCAAGGGACACCCAGGAGCUCAAGCAAAUUGGCUGAUGGAUGGAUCCCCACCCCCUCCGCCCUGCCCAAGGAAGGAGGGUUCCCUGGGUGGAGACCUAGGAGGUCACUUGGAAGAAGCAGCAGGACACGGACACAGACUAGAUGGGUCUUGACUUCAUCAACCAGUGCCCUCCUUUCAACAUCACGCCUACUCUCAGUGUGACCCCCAGGGCCCCAUCCCCCUUCUGGGCAACUCCAUCUGAGCACAGUCUCCAGAGCAACAGGGCUCAGAAGUUGCGGCUCCCAGGCCCCAGAGCCCAAGCUCAGCAGCUGUGGCACGCGAGCUUCGUCAUCCUGCCGCAUGUGAGAUCUUUCGGAUCAGGGAUUGAACCCUUAUCUCCUGCACUGGUAGGUGGAUUCCUUACUCUGAGUCACCAGUGAAGCCCCAGGUCCAGCCUCUUUUGAUCUCCACCACUUUAUAUCCACCUCCUGUAGCCAACUUUCUUACCUAUGGAAUUCCACUUCUGACGUGAGAUGCAAA
ensembl:lncRNA